rnacentral:tRNA from 1 species
GGGGAUGUAGCUCAGUUGGUAGAGUGCUUGCCUUGCAUGCACAAGGCCCUGGGUUCAAUCCUCAGCACUCUCC